GAGUACAACAACAACAAGCAUGGCGCCAAUAAUGGAUAUUUACGAUUUCACAAUGAACUUUUCGCAAAUUAGCAGUCAGAAUAGCGUUGUAUCAAUGUAUAACGCACACCAUCUUGUACAAUGAACAUUUCUGCACGGAACGCUUGUUACGGUAAUACAAAACUGGGAAUAUUUCAAAAAUCGGAGCCCAGGUUGUUCCAACGACUUUUUUUCGAAUUCAAAAGUUGACGAGAGCCCAUUAAUUUCUCUCAUCCGCCGGUCUGAUUGAGUGUGGGUGGGACAACAACCGAUACUACAUCGAGGCCAUCUCUUUCGCUAUGCAACUCGUCCAGAGAUACGGCAUCGACUGUAAGGCUCGCUCUGCAGUCACUGAGGACAUCGCCUGGAAGUACCUUGUUAGCGCCGCGUACAACAAAAGGGCUCUACAACACCUGUAUGGCAUGCCGUUGAUGGGUCGCCGCCGUUUAGCUCCAAAGUGCACGAUGUUGCCACAAAAGCAAGGUGAACAUGUCUCCCAACCUGUCCACCAAUCAUUUUAUGGGAAACAAACGCUUGUACCAGCACGUCAUCUGCAAUGUUCUACGAGUGUCCCGGAUAGCUUCCAUGGUCUACAAUCAGUUUUCAAACGUUUAGCGAUGCUGACACAGAUGAGAUGCUGGCGUCUGACCAGGAGAUCACGGUGUUCUCAGAGUGGUGUUCUACGCCAGAAUGUGCCGGCAAACAGGGAUGUGGUAAUCUGCGGUGUGCGUUGUGCACCCAGUGCCUGCACGCCUCCCAGAAGGUGACCUUGAGGGAGGCCUACCUGGAACACUACAACAGGGGCGGCUGUCGCAGGCUCAUCCCUCCUGCCAUUGGACAUGAGGAAGCUUUAACAUGGAGCCCAGAGAAUCCAGAUACAGAUGCCUUUGGGCUUCAGAAUCAAACAGAGAGGAAUCGUCUCAUGUAUUUGUGGUUUGUCGGAAUGUGCUGGAAAGACCGCACUUUCUGUCUGUGAUAAUGAGUUGUGAUCUCAUUUAUUUAAGAAACUAAACUAUAGCGUUCCAAAUGAGCCGAGUUAUGGUAAAAUGGGGCUUCAUGCAUGUGCGUAAAGUGUCAUCCCUGAUUAGCCUUCACAUACAGCGCUUCCAGCAUGCACUGAAAAAGAAACUCCUUUUUAGCAAAAAAUACAAUUGAAGUGGAAAGUGUCUUCUCUAAUCUGGGAUGACACUUUACGCACAUGCAUCAAACAUUGUUUCCCCAGAGUGCGGCUCAUAUGUAUUUUGUAUUUUCUAUGCAUUAAAUGGUAUUUUUUUAAUUAUUUAUAUUAAUACAAAAUUAUACAUGCAUAUGGGCAAACUAAUAUAAUAUUUCCACCAAAAAUGUCAAAGAACUUGAAAUACAUCAUAGAGAAAUUACGGCAACUUUUAGGGCGCAAUUUGUUCUAUAUUUUGACUUGUAUUUAUAUAAUAUACUCAUUCUUGUUUAAGUACGCAGUCAGAAAAUUCUUUGUUGUUUAAUAAUACAAUUUUUAUGCAACAUUAUUAUGGUUUUUUUAACACAUUUUUGGAGCAAUUUUAUUAAUCCUUUGCUGUGCUCUCGCUCUUUUGAUAGAGUGCUGCACAACAAAUACCAGAUUUACUUUUGAGUGUUAAUAACAAGUUUCCAUCUAGCAAAAGCUUUAUAUGCCAUGUAUUACCUCAAAGUGCAAAUAUACAUUCCAUUGUGUUCCUUCUCACCCAAAGGUUAGUGAAGUUAGACAUUAUAAAAAGUACAAAUUCAAACUAACACCAAUACUGAUUAAAUAAGUACAAUUUCCUAGAAAUGACAAUGACUCGUGGUUAAACUAUGCAAUUGGAGAAUAAUAUAGCCAUUUGUCAAGGGUAUUGCUUUAGUUUAUUUAUUAUUUUAAUAAUUUUAAUUAAAAGAUUUAAUUGUGUUGUUUUUAGUAAAAAUGCUGCUGGACAGCUUUUUAUAUGUCACAAUUCAUAAUAUUAUUUGCCAUGUUUCAUCAUGUUCUAGGUAUUAAUUAUUAAAAAUAUUUUUUUACAAGUAGUUGUGAAAGGGUUUUGUAAACAAUGUUAAAUUUGUUCCACGUUCAUUUGUUGCUUUACUAUAUUGGCUAUUGUACUAGUUUCAGAUCAUGAAAAUUUAGUUAGAAUCAUUUGUUAUUUAUAUGGAUUUUUAUUUUAUAUGUUUGGUGAUAGCUUUUAUUGUUAUAUGUGUCGGUUUUACUUUGUUUUUUAAGUGUUUGCAUACCUUCAAAGUAUAUUGCAAUCAUGCAAAUUCAUGGUGCGACUAAGCAAGCCUUAAUUCCUAUAUGGCCUUCUCUGUGAAAAAACUGGGCUUUCCGAGUGUGCGUGAAGAGUUGUCCCAGAUGAGCCUAUGCAGUCAGCACUCCACAGGCUAAUCUGUGACAACACUUUACACAAAUGCAUAAAGUCCUGUUUACUCUGAGUGCUGAUAAUAUUCUUAUUUGAGAGCAACAAUUUACAAGCCUGCAUAUAGGAAAAGUGAGAAAGCUCUAUUGAAAACUUAUCUGUACAUGGCUUGUGCAAAUUUUGAUUUCUGUGCCUCAGAUUUACAAUUUAAAACCAGAUGUUAAGCCUGGUUUUUCAAUGAAUAAGGUUUUCCUCUUAUACACACUUGGAACAUUGUUCUAGCCCUUCUUUUGGCAAAACAGGGCUUAAUGCAUUGUGUAAUGUGUGGUCCCAGAUUAGCCCCUGGGGUCUGCACAGGAUAAUCAGGGACGACACUUUCUGUUAAAUUGGAAAGAAAAUAAAAGGUAGUCUCUUCUUAACAAAAAUAAAGUCUAGGCAAAAAGUGUCUUCCCAGAUUAGCCUGUAAGGGCUGCACAAGCUAAUCUGGAUCGACCCUUUAGGCACAUACAAUUUCCCAGAGGGCUGUUCAUUUAUUUAAAUGCUCAGGGGUCGUAUUCCAGAAGCAUCUUAAGUUAAAUUGUAUUCUUAUCCUUAAAGUGGGAUAAAUUUUUAAGUGUUUCAUUUCAUAUUGCAAUUGUUUGGCAUCAAAAUUUACAUGAAAAUAACUUCAUUAUGUCAAUGUUAUUUUAGGAAUACCAAAAAAUGAUGUAUUUCCUCAUUAAGUAAAGAAAUACAAAACAUUGUAAUUUUGACCUUAAGUGAAAUUAUUUAAGAAAUUACUUAAGAUGUCUUUUGAAUACCACCCCUAAUGAAUGGAAGCACAGCCGUUAUUUAAUGGGACUUUUCAUUUAAGCAUCUAGAUAUCCUUUUUACUUGUUAGAUUUAACUUCACUAUAACAAGGUUGCACUUUUUCAAAGAUAAGUAGGAAGCUACUCAGUAAGUAUCAACUCUGUUAUCAUCUUCAUUUACGUCUUGUUAUAUGUGUUAGAUGCAUCUAUAUUGUGGCGUCCGUCAGGAUGGGUUUAUUCGUUUUCUUUGUGAGUUAUAUUCUUACAACAAGACUGGCGGCAGUUUAAAUAAUAUAUUUAUUUAGUAGGUUUAAUAUGUUAUUGCAAAAUUAGACAAGUUUGGUGGACACUUUCUCGGAAACACGUUACAAGUUAUUUUUAGUUACCCAAGAUGUUUUUACUCACUUUACUGCCCAGACAAGUGGAGCUACCAAGAUGGAAGUUGUGCUGUCAAAUUCAAAUUCUAGCGCCCUUAUAUACUUUCUGGAAAGUGCCCACGUGACCUUAACUGACCAAUGACCAUAUGACAGCCUGCCAGCAUAAUAACAAUAAACCAAUAGGAUUCUGACAGCUCGGGAAUCAUCCAACAGAAUCCGUCAGAAUCCACAAUGAUGCUGGCAAAUUCUGUGUCAUAGCGGCCAUGACAGGUCAGAUUUAUGCAUAACAUUUACAUAAUAAUGCAUAAAUAUGGCUUGUCAAUAAACAACAGGAUCGAAAUGGAAACAAUACACAUAAUACUAAUAGUUCUGUUAGUGCAGUUAAUAAUUCGUGGUAUUACGGAAUAAGUCAUGGAAAUGAAAUGGAUUAUUGUGUUAAAAGGAUGUAAACAAUGGACAUUGCAAGCCUUACACGAAUAACAAGGUAAGUGCAAUUAUCAUCAUCAUCAUCAUAAUCAUUAGUAGUAUAACUUUGGAAACUGCAUUCCACGUAAGUAUAACAGUAAACAAUAAAGCAUUUAAGCAUAUAAUGGGUGUGGGGGUGGGUCAUUACAAUAUGUAUGAUUGUUAUAUGUGUUAGAUGCAUCUAUAUGUAUGAUUGUUAUAUGUGUUAGAUGCAUCUAUAUGUAUGAUUGUUAUAUGAGUUAGAUGCAUCUAUAUGUAUGAUUGUUAUAUGUGUUAGAUGCAUCUAUAUGUAUGAUUGUUAUAUGUGUUAGAUGCAUCUAUAUGUAUGAUUGUUAUAUGUGUUAGAUGCAUCUAUAUGUUUGAUUGUUAUAUGUGUUAGAUACAUCUAUAUGUAUGAUUGUUAUAUGUGUUAGAUGCAUCUAUAUGUAUGAUUGUUAUAUGUGUUAGAUGCAUCUAUACGUAUGAUUUUGCCUAUGAAUGGGCAUUCAUCAAAUAUUGUUGUACUUUAUUUGUGUUAACUGAAGUAUUUGUUUUAAUAUAUAUUUACUGGUAUAUGCUUUUUACAAUCUAUUAAAAGAUAUACAUUGAAUCAAAUUAAAAAUCUAAUUUCUCUAGUUAAACUCUAGGAUUGUCAUUUGUAAUAAAUAACUCUUUCAAACGAAGACAUAUCAUAUUGUGGUCUUGUUAUAAGAAUUGUUGUUGAUUUGUGAAAAUGGCAUGGCAUGAAAAAGCUUAUUUUAUUUCUGGUUAACUUGUACCAUACCUAUGCAAUACCUUACCUAUAACCCUUACAUAUUAUUUUUUAUAUUAGAAAAUAUUAAUGAAUACCAUUAUAUGAAGUCUUAUUUGUCUGCUUAAAUGGCUAAGUUUGUUAUUUAUAGGUGUUUUGACACUUUUUAGAUCUGUUGUUAUUAUUUCACAGUUUGAUAUUCAGGUAUAGUGUAAUGGUUUGUUUAAUUGUAUAUACAAUGCAGCCUUUAAAUUAAUACAUGUUAGAAGGUAUGUUGUUGAAUAAACAAAUAAACUCAGGGCUUCAAAUCAUUCCGAAGUUAAAAAGUUAUCAACAAUUACUUCUUUAGUUGUACACUUAAUCAAGUACCUGUCAUUUACCCACUGAUAUGUACUUUAACAUGCCCCCACUUGUGUUACCCUUUAACAUGUCUGCACUUGUGUUACCCUUUAACAUGCCUGCACUUGUGUUACCCUUUAACAUGUUCCCACAGUAGUCUCCCACUUGUGUCACCCUUUAACAUUCUCCCACUUGUGUUACCCUUUAACAUUCCCCUACUUGUGUUACCCUUGUGUUUUUACCAUCAUUCCUCCUGAGCCAUCUAUCAAAAAGUUAUUUGUUCAAUGUUGUAUAUUUGUAUUGAGAUUGUCAUGUUUAAAUAUAUGUUGAAAUUUAUGUAUACAUUUUAAACACACAAUCUGUCAAAAUGUGUCUCGGAAUUUACAAAUAUCUACAUUUACCUUGUAUUUUCACGAGAAUUUUAUUGUAUUGUUAAGUGUCAUUGUUCUUGCUUUAUAGAUAUAGAUAUUAAUCAAAUGGGUUGUUGCCUUACAAUCAGACAAGCAAUUCAGGACAAAUGUUGCCUUAUUGUUUCGAUCUGCAAAAUAUGUAUAUUAUUUACCUACUUUCUUUCUCUGUUAAAGUUAUACUUUGUAGAUGAUUUUGUGCCAUUUACAUUAUUAUAAAUAAACCCUGCUCUGGGAAUUCCGGGCACAUGCUUUAAGCCCUGUUUUUCCAGAACGAGGCUCAAAUGCUUUUAGAAUGUGUUAAAUAUAAUCACGAUAUCUUUGACGCCUGUUCAAUUUCUGUUGUGAAUUGAACGGCACAUUUUAUACAUGGAAAACAGAAUACAAAAUUGAGAUGUUUUA